rnacentral:rRNA from 1 species
AACGCGAAGAACCUUACCAAGGUUUGACAUGCAGGGAAAAGCCGUAGAGAUAUGGUGUCCGCAAGGGUCCUGCACAGGUGGUGCAUGGCUGUCGUCAGCUCGUGUCGUGAGAUGUUGGGUUAAGUCCCGCAACGAGCGCAACCCUCGUCCUAUGUUGCCAGCGGGUAAUGCCGGGGACUCAUAGGAGACUGCCGGGGUCAACUCGGAGGAAGGUGGGGAUGACGUCAAGUCCUCAUGCCCCUUAUGUCUUGGGCUGCAAACAUGCUACAAUGGCCAGUACAAAGGGUUGCGAGACCGCAAGGUGGAGCGAAUCCCAAAAAGCUGGUCUCAGUUCGGAUUGGGGUCUGCAACUCGACCCCAUGAAGUCGGAGUCGCUAGUAAUCGCAGAUCAGCAACGCUGCGGUGAAUACGUUCCCGGGCCUUGUA